UGGUGGGUAGUUUGACUGGGGCGGUCUCCUCCUAAAGAGUAACGGAGGAGCACGAAGGUUGGCUAAUCCUGGUCGGACAUCAGGAGGUUAGUGCAAUGGCAUAAGCCAGCUUGACUGCGAGCGUGACGGCGCGAGCAGGUGCGAAAGCAGGUCAUAGUGAUCCGGUGGUUCUGAAUGGAAGGGCCAUCGCUCAACGGAUAAAAGGUACUCCGGGGAUAACAGGCUGAUACCGCCCAAGAGUUCAUAUCGACGGCGGUGUUUGGCACCUCGAUGUCGGCUCAUCACAUCCUGGGGCUGAAGUAGGUCCCAAGGGUAUGGCUGUUCGCCAUUUAAAGUGGUACGCGAGCUGGGUUUAGAACGUCGUGAGACAGUUCGGUCCCUAUCUGCCGUGGGCGCUGGAAGACUGAGGGGGGCUGCUCCUAGUACGAGAGGACCGGAGUGGACGCAUCACUGGUGUUCGGGUUGUCAUGCCAAUGGCACUGCCCGGUAGCUAAAUGCGGAAAAGAUAAGUGCUGAAAGCAUCUAAGCACGAAACUUGCCCCGAGAUGAGUCUUCCCUGAGACUUUGAGUCUCCUGAAGGAACGUUAAAGACGAUGACGUUGAUAGGCCGGGUGUGUAAGCGCAGCGAUGCGUUGAGCUAACCGGUACUAAUGAACCGUGAGGCUUAACCUU
rnacentral:rRNA from 1 species